rnacentral:rRNA from 1 species
GGGCGUUAAGUUGCAGGGUAUAGACCCGAAACCCGGUGAUCUAGCCAUGGGCAGGUUGAAGGUUGGGUAACACUAACUGGAGGACCGAACCGACUAAUGUUGAAAAAUUAGCGGAUGACCUGUGGCUGGGGGUGAAAGGCCAAUCAAACCGGGAGAUAGCUGGUUCUCCCCGAAAGCUAUUUAGGUAGCGCCUCGUGAAUUCAUCUCCGGGGGUAGAGCACUGUUUCGGCUAGGGGGCCAUCCCGGCUUACCAACCCGAUGCAAACUGCGAAUACCGGAGAAUGUUAUCACGGGAGACACACGGCGGGUGCUAACGUCCGUCGUGAAGAGGGAAACAACCCAGACCGCCAGCUAAGGUCCCAAAGUCAUGGUUAAGUGGGAAACGAUGUGGGAAGGCCCAGACAGCCAGGAUGUUGGCUUAGAAGCAGCCAUCAUUUAAAGAAAGCGUAAUAGCUCACUGGUCGAGUCGGCCUGCGCGGAAGAUGUAACGGGGCUAAACCAUGCACCGAAGCUGCGGCAGCGAACGUAUCACUUAAAGCGAUUCAGCGGAUGACGAUUGACGGAGCGAAGCGACGUCAAAGCGUAUACAAAGUCGAGUCGGUUUAAGGAUACGUUCGUUGGGUAGGGGAGCGUUCUGUAAGCCUGCGAAGGUGGCCUGUGAGGGUUGCUGGAGGUAUCAGAAGUGCGAAUGCUGACAUAAGUAACGAUAAAGCGGGUGAAAAGCCCGCUCGCCGGAAGACCAAGGGUUCCUGUCCAACGUUAAUCGGGGCAGGGUGAGUCGACCCCUAAGGCGAGGCCGAAAGGCGUAGUCGAUGGGAAACGGGUUAAUAUUCCCGUACUUGGUGUUACUGCGAAGGGGGGACGGAGAAGGCUAUGUUGGCCGGGCGACGGUUGUCCCGGUUUAAGCGUGUAGGUGUGUGUUCCAGGUAAAUCCGGUUCACUUUAACACUGAGGCGUGACGACGAGGCACUACGGUGCUGAAGCAACAAAUGCCCUGCUUCCAGGAAAAGCCUCUAAGCAUCAGGUAACAUCAAAUCGUACCCCAAACCGACACAGGUGGUCAGGUAGAGAAUACCAAGGCGCUUGAGAGAACUCGGGUGAAGGAACUAGGCAAAAUGGUGCCGUAACUUCGGGAGAAGGCACGCUGACA